UAAUGAUAUUAAACCUAAGUGUUAUUAUAAGAUUUCCUUUUCUCUUCUACUCAUUUUCACCGACCAAGACACCCGAUCCUCUCCCACUCUUUCCCUGCCCGAUCGAGAUCUCCCCAUCGACACCCCCAUUGCGUAAUAGAUCGACCAUCACCGGCCAUCACUGGUUGUCUCUGAUCUUCGCCGAUUUCCCCUUUAAGCCUGAUUCUUUCCUUUCCUCCUCAUCUUGCCGACACUUCCUCCUCUCCUCAUCUCGUCCGUGAUCCUGCUUUUCCUCGAUUCACCGUCGUCGGCGCACUCCUCCCCUCCCAAUCUGCCACAUCAUCUUCGAGCCACUCUCCCGUACACAGGUCAUCUUCGGCCAAAAGUGAGGAGUCGCUGCCGCCCUUUCUAUUUGCUCCGACGUUAUCAUCGAUGGGAAGAGGAGCUAUGUGGUCACCUCGUCGUAGCCCCAUGUAGAGCCCUAACACCUCACUCAUCGUAUCUCACAUUCGGUGUCCUACUUGGUGCUCAGCUUGGCAGCAUCGUUGUCUUCCAGUGCUUUAGAGCUCUCGAUCGGUUAGAGAUGAGAGGAGGGCCCGGAUCACCUUGCUGGGCUUUAUCUUGUCCUCUUCAUCAGAUCUGAAGUGGAGGGAGUACUAUCUUCCUCGUGGAUGCAUCUAGAUGUCUUCACCAAGCAACUGUAGAUCUGUAAAUUGGAUUAAGGUUGUAGGUAGUGAUUAUUGAGUCGCUUGGAGUAUCCUGUCUGUCGAUCCCAUGUCAUAUCAGAAGACGGUCGUACUUCGCUAUUGUGUUCUUAUACAUUCUUCUUACGGUAUUGGCAUUGGAUUGGUGUUUAGCCAUGUGAUUAUUUUAUCAUUUUUAGUAUUUUGUUGUGUUUAA